rnacentral:misc_RNA from 1 species
AACGCACCUUGCACCCUUUGGUAUUCCGAAGGGUAUGCCUGUUUGAGUGUCUUGAAACUCUCAAAACCCGAGCCUUUUGUUAAGAUCGGCUCUGGGCUUUUGGACUUGGACGUCUUUUUUGCCGGCUUUGCUUCGGCUCGUCCCAAAUGCAUUAGCUGACCUCUGUAGUGGUUUCGCUUGCUCGGUGUGAUAAGUAUCACUCGCUGAGUUUGGAACCGCAGGAGGGGUUGCUUCCAGUCGUCCGCAAGGACAACCAUUCAAGUGUUUGACCUCAAAUCAGGUAGGACUACCCGCUGAACUUAA